CCUGAUCACUAAAUAUAGCUUCAGAGUUUCUCUUGAAUAUUAGGGGCAACGUCCAUAUUCUUCAAAUUUGAACUUGGGUUGCUCACCAAUAUGAAAACAAUUGCACCUCACUGGUUUCUUUUUAGGAGAUUGCAGGAUACCAUGAAUUGGCAAGAGUUAUGGGUACUCUGUUAACAUUUUUUAUGGAGACAGAGGAAUUGCAAUAAAACUUUCCUGUCUUAUACCAUGAUAUUUUCCAGGGACCAUGUGAAUGAGAGACCUGGUUGGAUCUGCGUAGUAGUGAUCGCAAUGCUUCCUCCAUUCUUUUACUUAGCAAUUUGGGCUUCUGUUCAGAUACCGGAAGGAAGGCAGAUGUAUACAAGGACAAAGCAGCAAGAUGAAGGCAACAUCAAGGCUACUCCAACUGUUCCAUCAUUCAGGCAAUGACUGGUUCCACUCUCAACAUGCUCUAUUUAUUUUUGUACUCAUAUAUACAUGUCUAUG